UACGUAGGGACCAAGCGUUGUUCGGAUUUACUGGGCGUAAAGGGCGCGUAGGCGGCGUGACAAGUUACUUGUGAAAUCUCUGGGCUUAACCCAGAACGGCCAAGUGAAACUGUUGUGCUAGAGUGCAGAAGGGGCAAUCGGAAUUCUCGGUGUAGCGGUGAAAUGCGUAGAUAUCGAGAGGAACACCAGAGGUGAAGACGGGUUGCUGGGCUGACACUGACGCUGAGGCACGAAGGUCAGGGGGAGCAAACGGGG
rnacentral:rRNA from 1 species